rnacentral:rRNA from 1 species
UGAGGAAUAUUGCGCAAUGGGCGAAAGCCUGACGCAGCCACGCCGCGUGGAGGAAGACACCCCUAUGGGGCGUAAACUCCUUUUGUGUGAGAAGAAGGCCCUGGUCUCCAGGGUUUGACGGUAUCGCACGAAUAAGCACCGGCUAACUCCGUGCCAGCAGCCGCGGUAAUACGGAGGGUGCAAGCGUUGUCCGGAUUCGCUGGGUGUAAAGGGUGUGUAGGCGGGCCUGUAAGUCAGGGGUGAAAUCCCACGGCUCAACCGUGGAACCGCCUUUGAUACUGCAGGUCUUGAGUCUCGGAGGGGUUGCUGGAAUUCGUGGUGUAGCGGUGAAAUGCGUAGAUAUCACGAGGAACACCAGAGGCGUAGGCGGGCAACUGGACGAGUACUGACGCUGAGGCACGAAAGCGUGGGGAGCAAACAGGAUUAGAUACCCUGGUAGUCCACGCUGUAAACGAUGGAUGCUCGAUGUUGCCCCGUUACUGGGGCAGUG